rnacentral:miRNA from 1 species
CCUUGGAAUCUGAUCUGAAUUGU